AGCCUCUAUAGACAGCUAGGGUCCUACCACAUUCAAGGCACAGAAAGGUACCAAGAACAUUGUAAAAAAAUAGUCCAUGUGACAUCAGAAAAAAACUUAAAGGUGUUUACUCUUGCUUUUAGAAAAUUGUACGUUCAUGCCUUCAGAUUCGUCCAUUACAGUGUUAUUUUCAUUAACAAUUUUUGUCAUAAUAUUCGCCAACAUUUUCUUCACAGAUGAAAACGAGACCAUAACAAACCAACUUGAGAUGAGUGGAAAAUUACAUACAAAAUCUUUAUUGGCCAAAUAACGUUUGGCACCAUCUUACGCAUGCGUAAACAUACUAUACUUGGGUGCUGCAUGCUAUUUCACUCAGAUUUCAUGAUCUAAAGAAACGCUAUCAAAAUACAGAAUGACCCGAACCGCGUACGCAUACUGCUCCGGGGUGGACCAUAGAUCCUUGUUCGCAAAAGUAAUAGGCUCCACAAAGUUUUUCCUGAUUUCUUGCACUUGAGUGGGGGAGAGUGAGUCAAGUGGGGAAACUCCAGCACAACACUGUUCUCAUAGUCCAUGUUGCUCAAGCAUUUAAGUGACGUAUGAAAGGGAACCUGUUCUUCCUUCCUGGUAUUGUAACACUUUUACAAACUGUGCUAUAAAGUUUUCUCACAGGUGAAAGAAAUGUGAUGUAUUGCAGUAAUGUUGUCUCUGGUCAUCUGGUGUGCAUGUGCAUUCAGGGGGCAUGGCUUUGGACGGUGUUGCGCAGGGAGUGAGGGACAUGCACUUUCAGUGCUAUCAGGCUAAAGUUAGCAUUUUCUGACAUCUCCUACUGCACCUUUCAAAAAUGCUGUCUUUGGAUGAGACGUUAAACUGAGGUCCUAACUCUCUGUGGUAAAAUGGUAAAAAUCACAAGGAUGUCUUUCGAAAAUAGCAGAGGUGUGACCUCGGCAUCCUGGCCAAAUUUGCCCAUAUCGGCUGACUGGCUUCAUCACUUGGUCUCCUCUCCACCAAUAAGCUGUUGUGUGGUGGUAGUUCUGGGGCACUAUGGCUGCCAUCCCAUCAUCCAGGAGGAUGCUGCACACUGUUGGUGGCUCCAGUCUGGAUCCAGAACACCUGAGAAGAGAUGAUGCUGACCCUCAGAGGACCUCAGAUGAUGCUAACCCUGAAUCAACAAACAGAACUAACAAUUAUUGCUAAAUGUGUGACUGAAUCAUAUAAUAACUUAAUUAAUAAUAUUGAUAGUUCAUCAUCUAGCUGACUACGUCUUGUAUUAUUAUUAUUAUUUUUUCUAAAAUCCUGUCAAAUGUGCACAAACUACUAGCUACUACUAAAUAUUGUAGAAACAUAAUUUUCUGUAAAGUUGCUUUGUAACGAUUUGUUUUGUAAAAAGCGCUAUACAAAUAAACUUGAAUUGAAUUGAACCUCAAAUCCUACCUGGUAACCCAUCAAAGAAAUCAUGAUCAGUUGUCUACAGAGCUCACCCAGUGUACCCAAAUCACCAACACAUUGUGUGCAACUGUAAAAAGCUUUCAAACUGAACUUGAUAGAAGACUCAAAGCAGGAGAAACAAAUGACUGACCUGCAGACAAGAGAUUACUCACCUUUACCUCUUAACACUCCAGUUUCAGCUGUAUCACCAGUGAACACUCCUUUACUUCCUGCUCCUGUUGUAAAAAGUGAUCAUCUUAAUAUUACAUUUCCUACUUUUGGGAGACAGUCAGAUGGACAUGGACCCCUUGCUCUAACUAACUCGAUGUCAGGAUUUCUGAAGAGUUAAGAGUUACAUCCUCUUACUGAUACUGACAUUCUGGCCACUUUGCGCACUGUCCUUUACAGUACUGCCCGGGGCUUGUGGGAAGUUGCACGAUCUUCAAUAACCACGUGGGAAGAAUUUGAAGCUGCUUUCCUCUCUGCUUUCCUCUCAGAGGCUUAUGAAGAUGAGGUGGCUGAACGGGUAAGGACAAGAACACAGGGAGAAAGAGAUAUCAUUAGAGACUUUGCAUUUACGUACAGAGCUCUCUGCAAAAGGUGGAAGCCCUGCUUGAUGGACAGUGAAUUGGUGAAAAUGAUUUUUAAAAAUAUGAACCCCUAUCUUGCAAGCCAGAUUCGCAGUCGGGUGAACACAGUCGAUGAUCUUGUGAAAUUGGGCCAACAGCUGGAAAAAGACUACGAACAACAACUGCAAUAUGAAAAACGUGUGAGUUCUAAGCAACCCUUAUCCAUGCCUCAAAGACCUAUUGCCAACCACCCGGCAGAGAAGCCUUUAGUGCAAUGCUGGCGAUGUAAAGGC